rnacentral:rRNA from 1 species
AUGUACAAGGUGGUCGGCAUCGACCUCCAGUACACCGCCGGUUGUCCCGACAUAGAUCAGAAGGUUAUCGUCGCCCAGUUGUGCGUGCGCCAUCAUGUCCUCAUCUACCACUACUUCAUGGCCACAGUGCCUUGUGACUGUUUCAAUAGGUUUGUCAACAGCACCGACUACAAGUUCGCCACGGUGGAAACCACCGAUGAUGUAAAAGCGCUCAGUGUUACGUGCUUGGCCUGCAAGAACCUUGUCGAAAUCCAUGACCAUUACAGGGUCUGGGGCAGCACGAAGAAGGACUCCCUGGUCGAACUCGCCUCGGCCAUCAUCGACCUCUACUACGAAAAGAUGAAGCAGGAUGCCCAGAGAACAAGUCCCCUAUCCUGGCACAGGGCUUGGAUGCAGCAACUGGGUGCACCUCACCUCGGGUUCGCGGCCAAGAGUGUGUACACAUGCUACGAGAUGCACAUUUUACUUUGGUGUGUGCAAAUGCCAUGGUUGUUGGUAGCCACCUAUAACAGCCCCCAGAUUCCGCUGCCUCCAAAUUUCUAUGCUGAUGUUGAUGACCCACUUCUUGAAAGGUUAAAUAUCAGAACGAGUGAUGACACUAGCAAUGCAAGGCCUCUUGGUGUUUGGAGGUUGUUAGAGGUUGAUGUUUAUCUGGAGGGUGCACAUCACCUCUUUCUUGAGGUUAAUGUACAACAACAUUGCUUAGCUCAUUUGGAUUUGCUAGGGAUGCUGAAGGUAUGCUUCCCUCAAGACACACCAAAUACAAUAGUUGAUCGGCGUCAUGCACCUGACAACACAAGGCAGAUCAGAAUAUCUGAAAUUGACUUGUUGGUGAGUAGUACUGUUGGUGGCAAUAUGAGUGAGACAACCGAGCUGUUAUGUCGUCCUCUUUUGGCCUAUCGGCUGCCUGAUGCGCAUACCUUUGAGGCACAGGUCCAUGGAACGGGCCCCAUAUCCAGCGCGGGAUAUAUGCUUUGGUCUUCUGAAAUUGUGAGAAAUGGCAAAGCUUCGCUUAAGGAAAAGGCUCAAGCUGGUGACUGCUCGAGUAGUGCACAACCACCCAACAUCGAUAAGCAUGAGAAGGCAUCCACCAAUGGGAUGAAAUUAAUAUAUGAAGCCACAACUAGUGGUUGCUCUAAAGAUAUACCCCUUGUUGACCUUACUGGGGGAUCAAACAUCGCCAAGAAGGCGAAAAGGGCACUUGCAGUACCGGGAGUCAUUCUGAAAGCCCCGGACAUCACCGAGGAAUCACAACGUGAUUUAUUUUUGUAUGGCAAGCAACACCUGCAAACUAUCCAUGGUCUUGCAAGUGCCACAAAGCUCGACAAACCCAUGUUCAUUGAAAAAAUUGAUAAGUUGUUGGCCCGUUGGGCGAAACUGUUCUCUGCCCAAUUUAGUGAGGGUAUGGAGCAGAUGGUGGAAGCACUCAAGGACCUGAGAGAACUUCUUGUGGGCGAUUCUGCACCACUUCUCCCCUUUAAUGCCUCUGCUGUUGCUGCUCAAAAAACUAAGGUUGAGGAGGCACUAAAUAAGGCUCCUGCCUUCGAAGAGGCCAUCCCUGUAGCUUUAGCAAAGAUUGAAGAAGUUGAAAUUGCGGCCAAGAUAAAAUCACAGGUGCUAGCAAACAUGUAUUUUUUGAACGUGAGCAGAGUCUUGCAAGAUGCCAGUACCGCUGGUGAUCGACCAGCUGGAGUCAUGGGCGCUACCAAGGGACUAACAUAG